UUUUUUGCCUUUUGCUUUUUUCUCACAUUACUCAUAUAACCAAACAAUUCCAAUUCUUCAUCACCAGCAAGAUCAAUCGCCGCCGCCGCCAAAGCAAUCGCCGGUGAAAGCGUUAGAUUAAGAGUUCUGAAAGAGAUGGGAGUGGAACUUCGAAACGUGAGCUCGCAUUGCUCCGUCGAGAGGCAGCGAUCGUUCGACGGUGAUGAACCUGACGGUGGAGCUGUGGAGGCCGGCGGUGGCUAGUGAAGAUUUUAACAGCCAAGGGUAAAUGGUAUUACACACUAUUUUACACGUCAGUGCAUUCUUAGGUACUCUCGGAGGUACUUUCGGAGUUAGGAGAAAUAAUGUUUCCUCUUCUCACAUGGUGGCUCCAUUAUGAAUUUAAUAAGUGGUGAGAGAAGAGAGCAUCAUUAUCUGUGUUCUAGAAACACUUAAGAAUUACUCGUGGCAUGUGUGUACGAAUGUGUAAAACAGUGUGUAUAUAACAAACACUUCUAGGAAAAAUUUGCUAAAUUGCAUAAUUUUAGGAAAAAUUUGCUAAAUAGCAUCUGACCAAAGUUAUUAGAAUUAUGUUUAAUUAGAUUGGCAUAAUGCUUGGAAACUCGAGUUCCAAAAAGAUGCUACAUAACUAAAUAACUUUGGCCCUGUGCUUUUUUCCUACAUUAUUUCUAAAAUUAUGCUAUUUGGCAAAAAAUGAUGUGACAUGUAUUUGGGUUUGUGGAUUUGACACUUUGUAUUUCUGACUUGGUGAUGAUGUGUUUAUUUUUUACUUUGUUGUCACUUUGUUAUUGGUCCAUUUGAUCAUACUGAUAAUUCAUGGAUGAGCAAUGAUUGAUAAGACAAAGAAAAAGUGAAAAAUUAUUCAAAGAAAGACUUGAGGGUUGACUGUUGGCAAUGAUUCAAUAACUAGAAAUAAUUUAAUGAGAACAGCAAGAGUACCCCUUGUUUAUAACUUGCAUAUGCAUUUGCACACUCUUAAAAUCCUUUGAAAAGCCUGUGAAAUGGCUGCAAGUCAAGUUCAUUAGUUUCAAUCCCAUGUUAUCUAUUUAUAGAUAUAUUGUUUAGUUUGGAGGUUGAUUCUUUAUUUUCUGACAUUGUAUCUUUGAGAAGCUUUAAGUUAUGAGCCUCCGUGGGCAUCGGAAAGAAAAUGGUGUGAGGAAUCAUGAUAAUGAGAGGCAAGUUCUCAUGAAUGAUGGAGUUGAUCCAGGGAAACAAGGAACAAUGAGAAAGACAAUUCUUCAGAAUCUUAAACUAGAGAAUAAGUACCUGCAAAUGUGGAAUAUGAUGUUUGUUGUUUCUUGUACAAUUGCAGUAUCAGUGGAUCCUCUGUUCUUUUAUCUUCCUGUGAUCAAUGAAGAAACAAGUGCCUAGCAUUGGAUAAUAAAUUAAAAAUUGCAGCUAUUUGUUUGCGAUCAGUCACCGAUAUGGUUUAUGUCAUGAAUAUCAUUUUGCAAUUUCUUUGCCCUUAUAUAGAUGAGGCUCCUCUGAAACUUGGAUGAACUGUGUUAGUUACAGAUGCUUGGCGAAUAGCAAAGAGGUACUUGUUGUCCUACUACCUAAUCGACAUUCUUGCUAUUCUUCCCAUCCCACAGGUGGUAGUGCCCAUUAUUUUUUCGGAAAUGAGGGGCUCGGGAUUCUUGAAUAAAAGGAAGUUCCUGAAUGCUGUUGUUCUUUUCCAAUAUGUGCCAAGAGUUCUACGAAUCUACCUAUCAUGGAGGAAACUUAUCAGCACUGACAACAACCUUUCCAGAAUUGUAUGGGUGAAAGCUGCUUUCAAUUUCUUUCUAUAUAUCCUUGCCAGUCAUGUGCUGGGUGCCUUCUGGUAUUUCUUUUCUAUCGAACGAGAGACAGCUUGCUGGCACAUAGCCUGUAGAAAUCAUAUUGGAUGCAAUCAAAGUUCAUUUAACUGUCGUUAUAGUGUAGGAAAUCAAACAUUUUUAAAUGAUUAUUGCUCAGUAGAGACACCAAAUGCUGCAACUCCUUUUAAUUUUGGAAUAUUCAUUGACGCCAUUAAAUCUGGUACCGUGGCAUCCAAUGAUAUUCCUAAAAAGUUUGCAUACUGUUUCUGGUGGGGCCUGCGAAAUUUGAGUUCUCUUGGUCAAAACCUUCAAACAAGUACUUAUAUCUGGGAAAAUUGCUUCGCUGUUUCGAUUUCAAUCUUUGGCUUUCUGUUGAUUUUGUAUUUCAUUGGAAAUUUGCAGACAUAUAUGCAAUUAGCAACUCAAAGGUCGGAGGAGAUUAUACAAAAGUUGAAAUCUAAAGAACUGGAUGUAAAGUUGUGGAUUCAUAGAAACGAGCUCCCACCUGGUCUAGAAUACGAGAUCAUGCACAACAUUCCACACAUACUAGAAGAAAAGAAAGAUAUUGAUGCAGAGAAGCCACUUCUUCAUCUUCCCAUAGAACUCAAAAGGAAGAUUAAGCACCAUCUUUGUGAGCCUCUUCUAAAGAAAGUGCCAAUGCUUGGUAAAAAAAACCAACUGUUGCAAAUGAUAUGUGACUAUCUCAAGCCAGUGUACUACAAUGAGCACAGCUAUAUUGUUCGGGAGGGAGAACCACUUGAUGCAGCGAUUUUUGUCACGCAAGGCAUUAUAUGGAGCUUUGCAACCAGUAAUGGUGAGGGUACUGUCUCCUCAGGGGCUCAGUGCAUUGAAAAAGGUCAUUUUUAUGGACAAGAUCUUCUAGAUUGGGCUUUGAACGACUCCCCCACAUCACUUGACCUAUCCAAGCUCCCAAUCUCUACAAAAACUGUCAAAACCCAUGCAAAAGUUGAAGGCUUUGCUCUAAUGGCCAACGACUUGAAGACUGUAGUUUCCAAAUGGAAAACCGAAGCAGCUUCUGCUUUACAAGCCGCAUGGCGCCGCCGCAGCCAUCCUGAAAAGAAGAAUGAAAAGCCUUCCCAGUCGGCUUCAGAAAACAAAAACUAGCUAUCAUGCUGGUUAAGCUGCUUUUAGAAUAAAAAUUCAGAAGUUCCUGAUGUUGUUGUUGAAAAGCUAGUUCGCUAGUGACAGAGUUGCUAGUUUUUUGAAAUUAGAUGAUGAACACAUUAGGCAAUAACCCCGGAAUGGGGACAAUAUUUGUUUUAAUUGCUUUGAAUAUUGUUUGUAAGAGCCUUUUAAAGCUUCAUUAUUUUUUAUUAUGGGUUGAAACAAAAGAGCUAUGGACA